AUUGAACGCUGGCGGCAUGCCUUACACAUGCAGGUCGAACGGCAGCACGGGUGCUUGCACCUGGUGGCGAGUGGCGAACGGGUGAGUAAUACAUCGGAACAUGUCCUGUAGCGGGGGAUAGCCCGGCGAAGGCCGGAUUAAUACCGCAUACGAUCUACGGAUGAAAGCGGGGGACCUUCGGGCCUCGCGCUAUAGGGUUGGCCGAUGGCUGAUUAGCUAGUUGGUGGGGUAAAGGCCUACCAAGGCGACGAUCAGUAGCUGGUCUGAGAGGACGACCAGCCACACUGGGACUGAGACACGGCCCAGACUCCUACGGGAGGCAGCAGUGGGGAAUUUUGGACAAUGGGCGAAAGCCUGAUCCAGCAAUGCCGCGUGUGUGAAGAAGGCCUUCGGGUUGUAAAGCACUUUUGUCCGGAAAGAAAUCCUUGGCCCUAAUACGGUCGGGGGAUGACGGUACCGGAAGAAUAAGCACCGGCUAACUACGUG
rnacentral:rRNA from 1 species